UUAGAUCUAAGAGAGUAGAGAUCGUUGAGAUAGGGUUUUGUGGAUUGAGGCGGUGGUGAUGAUGUGGAGGAAGAAGAAGAAGAAGUUUUGUUUGAGAUUGGGAUUGGGAUUGAGAUGAUGAUUUAGAANNNNNNNNNNNNNNNNNNNNNNNNNNNNNNNNNNNNNNNNNNNNNNNNNNNNNNNNNNNNNNNNNNNNUUGAGAUUGGGAUUGAGAUGAUGAUUUAGAAGGGAAAAGGUGUUAAUGAUGGAUGAGUCAUUUGUUUGGGUGAGAGAGAGAGAGAGAGAGAGAGAGUGACUUUGUUGUGAAAAUAAAGAUGAAAUGAAAUGAAACUGAUGAAGAAAUUAAAUUGAAAUCUAUUUUACUUUACUUUUGUUUAUGUUUGACUUCAAACGACUACUAUUUUAUCCAUUAAUUAAUAUAUUUUUAUUUUUGCUUUUUGAGAGAAUCUAUUAUUUAAUAUUUAAUUAAUUCCUUUUGACCAAAAAUUUAUUAAUAUUAACGCUUUUUAAAAAAAAAACUAAAUUAGCUCACCCAUAUUAGCAUCGGAGAGUAUCGAACCUGAGAUACUUUAAGGAGGAGCACACUGUCAGGUUUUAAGUCAAUAUCAUCUGAUCAACUCAAGUGGGUUAUUAAUAUUAACAUUUUAUUUUACUUUUUAUCAAAAUAUAUUUAACUAAUAUUUAUCUACUUUCGCCUCUCUUAAAUUUAGUCAAAAUUUUCUUUCUAGGUUCAAUGAAUAAUUUAUGUAUUUAGUUUAAAAUAUAGAUUAAAUACAUGAAUCAUUAAAUGAAUCUGAAAAAAGAAUUUUUGCUUAUGUUUAAUAUCGGAGGAGUAUUAAUUAAUAUAUCCUUUUUUGACCAAAUAUUAAUUAAUUCUUUUUUUUUUGUACAAGAAGAGAGAAAAUUCCAAAAAUAUUAAUUAAUUUUAGUAUUAACAUUUUAAUUUAUUUAUAGAAUAAAUAUAAAUCACAAAUUUUAAGUCUAAUAUUAACAUUUUAAAUUAUAGGCCAAAUUAAUAUUUUUAUUUUAUUUUGAGAGAUUUUUUAAUGGAUUAUUCUUGUAUGGUCACUAAAACAAAUAUAAAUUACUACCAAAAAAACAAACAAAUAUAAAUUUAAAAAGAAUUAAAUAUGUUAUUGGUCCCUAUAAAUAACUCACUUUAUUUUUAGUCCAUAUAAAAAAUUUCAGUAACUUUUGCUCCCUCAAAUAUUUUUGGUCUUGAUUUUUAGUCCCUACUUUUCAAUCAACUUGUGUAUAUCAUUCGAAAUUUUAAAUUUUUUCAGUAGUCAUGUUUAGUACAGUACAUUAAUAGAUGAUAUUUUAGUUCCGUAGCCACGCUUGUUUUCUAUAAAUAUCAUCUAUUAUAUCUACUAUGAAUGAACUUGGACUAGCUUUACUGCAAGUUCAUUCAUUGGUUGUCGUAAUUUUAUUUUUUGUCUCUUUCUUUCACUCAAAUCAAACACACCGUAAAGAAAAGGAAAAAGUAUGUCAACAAACUCUCCCUCAAUUUUGUGAAUAUUACAUCAUCUCCUUUUCUAUUUUUAGCGUUUUUCUAAAAAAUUAUCAUUUUUUGAAUAGUUUAAUAAAAUUUAAAUCGACACCAUUUACAGGUUGAUUAUACGAAACUUGAAGAUCAAGCUCAAAAUGUCUUCAACGGUCCCCACACACAUAUAUUACAAAUGAAAUGGAAAACUAUUUAUACUUAGUUCUAAAAAUAUUUUGUUGUUGGAUGACGACGCUCGAUGGCCAAGCUUACUUCAAUGGAAGGGAAAAGCUGCAUCAGUCGAUUUUGCUCUGAAGCACAAAUGGUCGCUAGGCGACAGACUCUUGUUUGGAAUUCUCUAGUGUUGGUCUUUUGGUGAUCUCCCGACAACCAACCUUGAAUCCUGCAAAGUCGACUAUGUAAUCCCGAUCGCUCCACGAUCAUCGCUACUAGUUACCUGGCAAAGCCUUGUACUGGAUUUUCCUGGACUCUGGUCUUGGCCGCUUCAUGGUCAUUGUGUGCUUGCUUGGCAAUUGUGACCAAGUUCAGUAUUUGAUUCUUUGAGUCCAUUUCCAUUUAGCUUCCAUUUUCCUUCAAAAUUGAUUUGGAAUUAGGUAGAAAUAUCAUAAAAAGCUGAUUUGCUAAUUUAAACCAAUAUUUACAAAUAGUUAAGUUUUUCUAUUGAACAACCUCAGAAACAAAUUAGUAACUGGUUGAAAUAUAUAUAUAUAUAUANNNNNNNNNNNNNNAUAUAUAUAUAUAUAUAUAUAUAUAUAAAAUCACUAUUAUUCAACACUUAUUUUUUAUCUUAUGGAAAACAAUUUAUACAAAUAAAUAAUUUUUUAUGUAUUAUGAGUUUGUUAAGGUAAUUUAUGAAAAAAUAACAUAUAAAAAUAUAAUUUUUGUUAGUGUAAACUUAUAAAUUAACAUAAAAUCUUAUUUAUUUUAAUAAAAUGUUUUGCAUAAACUAAAAAAUAAAUCAAUUCUAACAGACUCAUACUCAUCUUAACUUUGGAGCUUUUGGACCUCUCGCUUUUGUCAUAUAAUACAGACUCUAAUACAUCUCAACUGAACAAUAUCUAUAGUUUCCUAUAUAAAGUAUAUUGUUGGGUUAGUUGAUGAAUGAUUGAAUUAAUAUAUAUAUUAAUUCUUUCACCAUCAGUUUAAUCUGGUUUGGAGGUCAGUUCUGAUAUCAAGUGGUUUCAGUCCUCUCCGAUCGCAGCAGUUCCGGAGUAUCGAACCGUGAUCCUCCCUAUCAAGUUCAGCGUCAAUCAUCACUGAACCAACUAACGAUUAGUUGAUUGAAUUAAUAUUUUGGUUCUACAAGAGUUAUCACCAUGUGAUGUAGGAGGAUUUCUUGUGUAUAUUAUUAUUUUAGUUAGAUUUAGUUUUAUUAUAUUUUAGGUAGAUUUCUUAUUUUUAUUUAGUUAGGUUUGUUAUUUUCUUUUACAAUCUUUUAGGAGAUUUGNNNNNNNNNCUCACUCCUAUUUAAACUAAAUUAUUGUAGCCUUGAAGGCAACCUUUCGAUUCAAUAAAAAUUCAGAGAUUUUUCUCAAAUUUGGUGGAUUCCAAAUUACUCUUUCGGUGGACUCCGAAACCCUAUUUUGACAAGUUUGUGUUUGCGGCUUGUCUUUAUCCUUUAGGUUUAGCGUUUUGNNNNNNNNNNNNNNNNNNNNNNNNNNNNNNNNNNNNNNNNNNNNNNNNNNNNNNNNNNNNNNNNNNNNNNNNNNNNNNNNNNNNNNNNNNNNNNNNNNNNNNNNNNNNNNNNNNNNNNNNNNNNNNNNNNNNNNNNNNNNNNNNNNNNNNNNNNNNNNNNNNNNNNNNNNNNNNNNNNNNNNNNNNNNNNNNNNNNNNNNNNNNNNNNNNNNNNNNNNNNNNNNNNNNNNNNNNNNNNNNNNNNNNNNNNNNNNNNNNNNNNNNNNNNNNNNNNNNNNNNNNNNNNNNNNNNNNNNNNNNNNNNNNNNNNNNNNNNNNNNNNNNNNNNNNNNNNNNNNNNNNNNNNNNNNNNNNNNNNNAUUAUUAUUAUUCUACACAAGCUGGCCGUGGAAUUAACGAUAAAAACAGAAAAUAACAAAACAGAACAGAAAAAAAUAAAUAAAAAAUUUCCAUCCAUGUCCCAAUUGGUUUUCCCUUCCCCUGUUUCUUUCUCUUCUCUUCUCUUCUCUUCUCUGCGAAUCUCAAUUUUCCUUCAAAAAUCUUCAAAUCCCUAACCAUAACCCCUUUCACACUCCUUCAAAUUCUCACUCAAAUCUCCUUCAUCAACAAAAUUCAAUCCCAAUUUCAAUCGAUUCGUCUCAAUUUUUCUCAAUCCUCCGCAACAAAAUCGCUAAUUUCCGUUCCUAUAAAACCCUAAUUCCUAAUCCCACCGGCGACAUCGCACCUCCAUGCGAGAUCCUCUACCUCCACCGCCGUCUUCCGGCGACGACGGUGCUCCAUACGGCUCCUGGUAUGGCAACAUCGACUACCUUCUCAAUAUAUCGGCGAUCGGAGCNNNNNNNNNNNNNNNNNNNNNNNNNAUUCUGUCUCUUGAUUUUCCUCGUGGUGAAGCUACGGAGCGACCACCGUCGUAUGCCCGGUCCUUCCGCCAUUGCCAGCAAACUUCUCGCCGUCUGGCAUGCUACCGGCCGUGAAAUUGCCCGUCACUGUGGCGCCGAUGCUGCUCAGUUUCUCCUCAUUGAAGGUGGAAGCUGUGCUGUUCUCUUGUCGGUUGCGGCUCUCGCGCUCAUUGUUUUGCUUCCGCUUAAUCUCCAUGCCGGAACCGUUGUUUUGGGAGAUCAAUUCUCCAAGACAACUAUCAAUCAUAUACCUAAAGGUUCGCCUUUGCUUUGGAUUCAUUUCCUUUUCGCUGUUGUUGUAGUUUUAUUGGUNNNNNNNNNNNUCUGCUAUGGAAGAGCGUUUGAGAAUUACUAGGUUUAGGGAUGGUUAUGGUAAUUUGAGUGAUCCAACUGCGAAUUCCAGUGCUAUAUUUACUAUAAUGGUUCAGGGGUUACCGAAAAUUAUAGGAGCUGAUAGGGCUGUGUUGCAGGAGUAUUUUCAGUAUAGGUAUCCUGGUAAGGUUUACAAGGUUAUUGUGCCGAUGGAUUUGUGUGCAUUGGAUGGUUUGGCUACUGAGUUGAUGCGUGUGAGGGACGAGAUUUCAUGGUUGGUGGCUAGGAUUGAUUCUCGCUUGUUGCCCGAUGAUGGUGCAGAGGAUAGUGGCACUGGUGGGAGUGUGUCUCAGGGAUUGAGGAGUUGGGUGGUAAAUUGUUGGAAAUGGUUGAAAGGUUUUUAUGCUGACAUUAUGGCGUUAUUUGGUUAUACUGAUGAGGAGAGGUUGAGACAAUUGCAGGAACUGAGGGCUGAACUGGAGACUGAGCUGGCUGCUUACAAAGAAGGACGUGCACAGGGUGCUGGUGUUGCCUUUGUUAUGUUCAAGGAUGUGUAUACUGCUAAUAAGGCUGUUCAGGAUUUUCAGAACGAAAAGAAGAGGAGGGUUGGGAAGNNNNNNNNNNNNNNNNNNNNNNNNNNNNNNNNNNNNNNNNNNNNNNNNNNNNNNAGAGGAGGGUUGGGAAGUUCUUUUCUGUCAUGGAGUUGCGUCUGAGGAGAAACCAAUGGAAGGUUGAGCGUGCUCCCUUGGCGAGUGACAUUUACUGGAAAAAUUUGGGGACGCCAAAAGUAUCGCUGAAAUUGCGGAGAGUGUGUGUGAAUACUUGUUUGUUGUUGAUGCUCUUGUUCUUUAGUUCUCCCCUUGCUGUGAUCAGUGCUAUUCAAAGUGCUGGAAGGAUCAUCAAUGCCGAAGCUAUGGAUAAUGCACAAAUGUGGAUGGCUUGGGUGCAAAGCUCUGGCUGGCUUGGAAGCCUUAUUUUUCAAUUUCUACCCAAUGUUAUCGUCUUUGUCAGCAUGUACAUAGUUGUUCCAUCUGCUCUUUCUUACCUGUCAAAAUUUGAACGCCAUCUGACAGUUUCUGGGGAGCAAAGAGCUGCACUCAUGAAGUUGGUUUGCUUCUUCCUUGUAAAUCNNNNNNNNNNNNNNNNNNNNNNNNNNNNNNNNNNNNNNNNNNNNNNNNNNNNNNNNNNNNNNNNNNNNNNCCAUCCUGAAAAUGGGACGGUGCUAUUUGGAUGGAGAGGAUUGCAAGAGGAUUGAGCAAUAUAUGAGUGCAUCAUUCCUGUCAAAGUCAUGCCUUUCUUCUCUUGCAUUUCUGAUCACAAGCACUUUCUUGGGGAUAUCUUAUGAUCUAUUAGCACCCGUUCCUUGGAUUAAAAGAAACAUUCAGAAGUUUCGGAAAAAUGACAUGCUUCAGUUAGUUCCAGAACAAAGUGAAGAAUACCCGUUAGAACACCAGGACGUAGAUGGUCUUCAGAGACCACUAAUUCAUAGCAGUCCCGGUGCUUAUGAAACUUCCAAUGGUUAUAAUCAAGAUGGACAAGAUCUUUCUGUCUAUCCAACCACCGGGAGCUCACCUAACCCAAAACAGACAUUCGAUUUUGCACAGUAUUAUGCCUUCAAUUUGACAAUAUUUGCCCUGACUCUGGUAUACUGUUCGUUUAGUCCACUUGUUGUCCCUGUUGGUGCAGUUUAUUUUGGGUAUAGAUAUGUGGUGGACAAGUACAACUUUCUCUUUGUCUAUCGAGUUCGGGGAUUUCCUGCAGGCAAUGAUGGGAGGUUAAUGGAUACUGUAUUAUGCAUCAUGCGUUUCUGCGUUGAUCUAUUCUUACUAGCUAUGCUCCUAUUCUUCUCAGUACAAGGGGACUCUACGAAGCUGCAAGCUAUUUUCACACUUGGGCUAUUAGUCUUGUAUAAAUUACUGCCUUCCCAUCGUGAUAGUUUACAAUCAACCCUUUUGGAGGGCAUUCAAACGGUUGAUAAUGUUGUAAAUAGUCCUGUUGAUUACGAGGUGUUUUCGCAGCCCAGGUUUGAUUGGGAUACCUCCCAAAGGUGAUUCAAGCUUUGAUAUUCCUGCUGUCAAAUAGAGCUGUAUCUGUUCCCAUACAAAAACAUGUGACUCAGAAAAGUAGUGAUGGGGGGCAUAGGGAUGAAGGGAUCACUCAAGAGUCCAUAAUCCGUUAUACACACUUCAUUUCUACCAUCUGUUCCAUUUGUCACCCAAUUCCAAAGAUUGGCCACGAUGUUAAUGAAUGUACCAUAUCAUAUUUGCUUUGUGCAAAUUUGGGGGGAUUGUAAUGUUUCCACUUUUUAUAUCUUCAUCCUCAUCACAAUGGGGAAAUUCUCGGGAAAGUUGGACCUGUUUUCGUUAGAGAAGUAACAGUGAGAGCGUGUUGCUUCUGAGACAAGUUUCAGAGCAAAUGGUGCUUCUCCUACUAUUGGUACAUUCCCACAGCCUACUCUUGCUAAGAAUUUGAAGUGCAUGCCAAGUUAUUUUCCUAUCAAAAAGCUUACUAGUUACCAUCAUUUUUUAGAUAUAUAGAUUUGGAAGAGAAAAAAAAUGUAUAGAGAUAUUAUUGCAAGUUAAAUUGGUCACGUUUAUCAACUUUUGUUUCUUUUUGUUGUUGAUACAUAUGAACUUUUGUUUUAGUCAAUUAAUCUCAUUUAAAGUAAAUCAGCAGAGAAGUAGAGGAAGAACAUUUCCCUUCAUUUUAUGGUCAGGUGUAAAUUGUGUUUUUACACCUUAAUUUAACCUUUAAAUCAGGCAAAUGGAAAAUCAUGUGAAAAUAAAUAGAAACGUGUUAUUUUCUUAUUAUUUUUCUUCUAUGUAUUCUCAUCUAGUUCUGUGCAUUGCGACCAAUUAAUUGAAUUCACACACUUCGUACCAAAUAGUGGUACUAAAUUCAUUAACUUAUAGUACUGUAUUGUAGUACCAUUUUAUAUUUUGUCAUUCAACUGGUACAUGGUAAAAAAAUCCUUUAGAUCAGUAUAAAUAAUGUGGUCUGAAUAAAUUCUCAAAAUAACUAUUAAACUCUUCGAGUUUAUGAUUCUAGUUCACAAAAAUGAAUCAACUUAUAUGUAAAUUCUAUUUAUAGUAAAAUUCUUAUGAAUUUAAAUAUAUUUUGAUAAAAUCAAUAAACUCUUGAUUACGAGUUUACAAUUCUUCUCAUGUCAAGGUCCAAAGAAUUUAAUUAUUCUCUAAGUAAUUGGCUGACAAAUCCGCUUGCUUGUCUGGGUGAUUGAUUUGGUGAGACCGAAUUCUGUUCUGGCACGUUCCUGUUUUUUCUGUUUGCAGGUUUCAGGUUGUUUUUGCAGCUCCUUUGAUUGGUGUUUCUGUUAUUCUGGCGAUCCAUCUUUGUUAUAGUCGUGGUUGAUUUCAAAUUCCAUGCUCGGUUGGUUCGGUUAGAGAAUUGGCGUAGGUCUUAUUCUCGAAACUCCGAAGCUCUAUUGGUGGCAUGGAGAGAGAUCCCAUGGCGAAGCUAGAUGCGUAUAGGCCUAGUGGGAUAACUGUUUGAUUUUGCUGGAGCCUGCUAUCGGUGUUGUUCGGGUUGGAAGGGGACUGUGUUGGUGUCUAUUAAUCACUAGUUUUGGCUUUCUGUUAUAGGAGUCCUGUAUUGAGAAUUGUUUAUGACCUUGUGUUUUGCCUUAUGCCUCAUUAAUGCAGUUUUUUUCCUUUUGCCUUUGAAAAAAAAAACUAGUUUACAAUUCUAUACUAUUGAUUGAGGCUUAUGGUUCGAUAUCAGUUUAUUGUUUCUUAAACUUUUAUAAUAAUAAAAUGUUUUUUUCUUUUGACGAAUAAUAAUAAAAUGUUGACGCGCAGGAAUUUUGGAAAAAAAAGAAAAAAUUUAGUGAAAAAUUAUCAUGUAUGUAGUACUUAUAAAAAAAUCUUUGUGAAAAAUUGUCAUCUAAUACUUAUAGCAAGAUUUAUAUUUAAGAAAUCCAUCAUUAGAUACUAUUCUAUUCCUGAUCAAUUUUAUUUUUCACAGCUUGCUCCACCAUUAUAAUUUAAAUAUAGAUUUUUGUUAAAGUUUUGUUUUUUACAAGUGAUUUUUGCUAAAAGUUAAUAAUUUAACUAUGUACUGAAUAUUAAUCCACCAAUGAAAAACUGAUUGUCAUGAAUAAUUAGUUACACUUUUCUUUGACCAAAAACAAUUAGUUUNNNNNNNNNNNNNNNNNNNNNNNNNNNNNNNNNNNNNNNNNNNNNNNNNNNNNNNNNNNNNNNNNNNNNNNNNNNNUGGAAAACCAUGGAUUAUUAUAUGUAAAAAGCAUUUUAGUAUUUUUUUUAAGAAAACAAUAAUUAAGGUUCCAAUCUUGUAAUUCACUCUAGUCAAAUAACAAUCCUAUAAUCACUCUCAACCAAACAAAUGCUAAUCUCUACUCACUCGAACAUACUCUAAAUUCUAAUACACAUUGUGGUUCCACUAAUCUCUAGUUUUCUCACAUGGAACUUUCUCUCUUAAAAAAAAUGUGUGGCUAUUCUUUCAAUGUAACUCAUACUCUACACACUAUAACCAAUUCAAUGUGUGCAUAAAUAGAUUGAAUAACAAGUCACAAAGUCACAUUUGCUCCUUUCACUUAGGGAUAAAAAAAACAAACAAAAGAACAUGCAACAACAAGCAAUGAAAAGCAAUCUUGUUGAUUUGGGUUCAGAUAGAAAAAGAAUUGGAUCAAGAAAUUAUGAUCAACCCCUUUGUCCAAAACCUAUUAGGCUUUCACCUUCCAUACCUGAUUUCCUCAAACCAAUCAGGUGUAACAAACAUAGGUUUGAUUCUUUUUCUUUCAAUGCAAUAUAAUAUAGUUUUAUUUUUAUUAGAUUGGAUAUAUUUUUAGUUACAUCAAAUCACAAUCCUUUAACUUUAGUCUUCAUACAAAAUUUAUUCAUUUAUAAUUGUUACAGCUGCAGUACAACACUUCUGAUCGAAGGCGUCUCAAGUAUCUGUCUAUCUGACACCGACACAUAAUUACAUUCAAUUAAUUUCUUCUUCUUUCAAAUCACUACUUAUGUUGGCGUGUUAAUGUGACUGUCGUGUUUGUAUCGGUGUCUAUGUCAAUGUUUAAUAGACUAUAGCGUUAGGGACCAUUCUCUAGCUAAACCUAAUGGUUCUACAGCUAUAUCGCCAUAUUGCGGCUAUAGAGGAUCCAAUUACUAAAGUUAAACGAUUGUGAUUUUAUGAAACAUUUAACUUAUGUUUUUUAUUCCUUUGGUGAACUUGAUUAUGAUUUGUUAUACUUUUUCACCAGUCAGCAAAACAUUGAUGAAGGGAAUGGAGUACUGAAUAUGAUCAUUGAAAAGGUUUUGGUUUUGUUAACUUAAUAAAUAACCAACUAAGGUAAAUAAUUGAAUUGAGUAUGAAUGAUUGUUGAUGAGAUUGGUGAAUGUUUGUGCAGAAUGCAGAUGGAAGGGAAUCAAUAUGUAAUGGAUGUUUACCAUGCUGUUAUUCCGGCUCGCCACCGCGCAGAACGGAAAAUCCAUUGGUUCAUGAUGUUGAAUUUCUUCAUCAAGUGGAAGUUGUUUCACCAUUAUUAUCACAAACUAAACUUUCUAAUAAAUUUGGUAUUACAUCUGCUUCUACAAUGUGAAUCAGAAAAAUAAAAAAAAUAAAAAUAAAAGGGGGAAAGUAGCUUUUGUUGAAAGGGAAGAGUUUGUAGAAGUUAAAUUUUGAGGGAUUAUUAUAUUGUAGGGCGUAAUUAGUAAUGCUUAAUAUGUAAAUGUAGAUACAUAUGUGAGCUUCAGACAAGAUUAUUAUUUUUUUUUUUUGUGUAUAUAGCAAAUUUUGUUGUGCGCCAAUUUGGCAAUAUGACUAAUUAUACUUUGGACUGUUUUAGUAUUGAUAUACUUAUUUUAGUGAGAGGUACAAAACCAUGGAAUUUGGAUCUCCACUCUCCCUUGUUAGAGUAAAUUAAUGGUAAAAUUUCAAUAUUAGAGAGAAGAGAGGAAGUUAAUCCACUCUCAUAACAAUUUCUUUUGCUACAAUAUAAAUGUUAAUGAAAAGAUUUGAAUCAAACACAUUUAACAUAUAAAAAUGAGAGAAAUUAGAAGGAAGAUUAAUAGUGGAUAUAGAGAGGAAAAGGAAAAAAAGAAGAAUACACCUACAAAAUUAAUACGACUUCAUUCAAAAUAAGGAGUCACUUUAGCUAAAAAUAGACCAUCUCAUGCGCAUAUCUCUUAAGCAAUUAGUCACGUGCCUAAUUCAACUGAGGUAACAUGAAGAAAAAAAAAAGUUUUAAAGAGAGAAAUAAACAUAGGUCAAUUUGAAAAUAUUUCAUCCACUCAGCCCAUUUGUUACCAUAUCUUGCUCUUAAACCACUUAAUGCAUAUGAUCGUGAUUUUGUGAAACUCGUCGUCAAUCUAUGCAUAUACUUAGCUUCUCUUAAAAGUCAUCGCACUACUCUUAUUAGUCGUUCCUUUCGCGCAUCUCGUAAACCUUCCUCUUCCCCGCUUAAUCACCCUCCUCCUAUCAAUCCAUGCCUUAGUAAUCACCUCCCCCAAAAGUUGAUCAAACAAGUUACCUUUAACAUCCAUUUUCAAUUAAGUAACCAUUAAAUACUCCACAAGAAGGCAGGAACUGUAAAGCCCCGAUACUCUAAAAAUUGGUGAAGAAUCGUGUCCAACACACACCCGACACCAAUACGCGUAUGAUGAGUCCCGAUACCUGUCGCCGCAGGACAGAACCCCCCACCAUUCCAUUUUGCAACCGUCAACAACUGUCUAAACAAAAAUAGAUUUAUGUAGGGCCCACUCAGUACUCACAUGGCCAUCAUGGCCCAUAUCAUCAUGUGGGUCCAAUCAGUCAGUAAUAAGUCAAAUUCAUACUCACUCACCUCAAAUCAAUCCCACCUAAUAACAAGAUCCAAUGUUCUCUUUUUUCUCUUUUGAAUUUAACACCAAGAUUUCACCCAUCACACACCAAAGAUCCUCUCUUUUUCUUUCUCUUUUCUUGGGUUUGGUGGUUUUUUAGCAGAAGAAAAAUGUUGAGUUUCAGUUUCAGCAGAAUAAUCAUCAUCUUCUUAAUACUUUGUUGGUGGUGCUGUUACUGUGAUGCUCACAUAUUCACAUUCACUAUGCACCACCGUUACUCUGAACCUGUCAAGAAAUGGUCUCAUUCUGCUUCACAUUCUCCUUCCAAUCGUUGGCCUGAAAAGGGUACUGUUGAAUACUAUGCUGAGUUAGCUGACCGUGACCGCUUUCUCCGCGGCCGUAGACUCUCCCAAUUCGACGCCGGUCUUGCUUUCUCCGAUGGCAAUUCCACCUUCCGUAUUAGCUCCCUUGGAUUGUAUGUUAAUUCUUUCUUUUUAUUAUUAAAAAUCAUAUUUUUAUCAUUUUCAACCAACCCCUUUUUUAGAAAAUCAUUAUUUUAAGAUCAUGUUUCCUUAAAAAUCCAAUUUUUAUCAUUUUCAAUCAACCCCUUUUUGUUGUUGUUUUGUUCUUGGAAUUUGCUCAUUGAUUUUCUUUGGUGUGUGUGUGUGUGUUGGGUUGUUUGAAUGCAGUUUGCAUUAUACAACAGUUGAGUUAGGGACACCUGGAGUGAAGUUUAUGGUGGCGCUUGAUACAGGAAGUGAUCUGUUUUGGGUGCCCUGUGAUUGCACUAGAUGUGCAGCUACUGAUAGUUCUUCCUUUGCUUCUUCUGCCUUGGCUUCAGUAUGUUUUCGUUCGUCUCUUAGUUUAGUCUUAUCUUGUGGUUCAAGUUAAUUUGUUUUAAUAGAUUGUUUGUAAUUAAUUAUGACGACGAUGGCCUAUUCAGUUGAGUGAGAUUUCAAUGAUAUGUUAGGGUCUUGUUAGGAUAAUAAACAGCUUAAUUAAUCGCUUAUAGCAUAAAUGUUUAUCAUAUAAGUUAUUAUAUAAGCUAUACUAGGGAGUUUAUGGAAAUAAGCUGAAAAUAACUUAUGAACAUGUCUUAAAGUUGUUUCACAAGUGUUUAUGCUAUUAGAUAAGCUCAAACAAGUCAAUACAAACAUGCUCGUGUAUUAUGCUAUCAUGUGUUUUGCUACCCUUGGUUUGUUUUUGAAUGGAAUGUGUUAUUAUGGUAGGAUUUUGACCUAAGUGUGUAUAAUCCUAAUGGAUCUUCAACAAGUAAAAAGGUUACUUGUAACAAUAGUCUCUGCACGCACCGCAACCAAUGCCUUGGGACAUUCAGCAACUGCCCUUACAUGGUUUCUUAUGUAUCCGCUGAAACCUCUACGUCCGGAAUAUUAGUAGAGGACGUUCUGCAUUUAACUCAAGAAGAUGAUGACCAUGACCUUGUCGAGGCAAAUGUUGUAUUUGGGUAAGUUUCUUUGUUAAAUCACCAUAACUGAUAUUUUUCUGAUAUUCUUUUAAGCUUUCUGGCUCUCUUAAUCGUAUCUUUUAAACUAGUAAUAAAAUUCAAUACAUGUUUUUUUGCAGCUGUGGACAAAUUCAGAGUGGAUCGUUCUUAGAUGUUGCUGCUCCGAAUGGUUUGUUUGGACUUGGUAUGGAGAAAAUAUCAGUUCCUAGCAUGUUAUCAAGGGAAGGAUUUACUGCAGAUUCGUUCUCCAUGUGUUUUGGACGAGAUGGCAUUGGAAGAAUAAGUUUUGGGGACAAAGGAAGUCUUGAUCAAGAUGAAACUCCAUUUAAUCUGAACCCAUCACAGUAAGUGGUAAUUCCCUGUUUCUUGCCUCUGAUUAUCCGAAUUUCAAAUAGUACUAUAUCUUAAUGCUUUUGAAUAUAUCUCUUAUGUUUGGAUACAUCUCACAGCCCUACCUAUAACAUCACAAUCAAUCAAGUCCGUGUAGGAACAACUCUAAUCGACGUGGAAUUCACAGCUCUUUUUGAUUCUGGAACCUCUUUUACCUAUUUGGUUGAUCCAACCUAUUCAAGGCUUUCCGAGAGUGUAAGUUCCAAAAAUGGGACAAAAUAUGAUUUCAUUUAGAUAAAUAUUUUUUGAAGAUAAAACUUACCAUUGAAGUAUUUAUGUUGUUGUAGUUUCAUUCCCAAGUGGAAGAUAGGCGGCGUCCAUCGGAUUCAAGGAUCCCUUUCGAAUAUUGUUAUGAUAUGAGGUUAUAAAACUAUUACUAUUUAUGCUUCAUUCAUUAACUAUUUUAGUCAAAACUUAACAUUCUUUCUUAUGAUUGGACAGUCCUGAUUCAAAUACUAGCUUGAUCCCUAGCAUGAGUUUAACUAUGGGAGGUGGAAGCCGUUUUACUGUUUAUGAUCCAAUAAUUAUUAUCUCUACACAGGUAGCUCUUAAAUCUACGUAUCUCGGUUUCUUAUGUUAAGCUUUAGGGAUAUACAUAUAACAAAUAAGUUCUUUUCCAUGUUACUUCUGCAGAGUGAACUUGUAUAUUGUCUAGCAGUAGUCAAGAGUGCUGAGCUGAACAUAAUUGGACGUAAGUCUCUCAUACUUUCUUGAGAAAGAAGUUUUGAUUUUCACUUAGUGCUGAAAUCCAAAUGAUGCAUGAAUCAGCAUGAUGUAUCAUGUAUAUUAAUUCUCAUGCCGCAACUCUUGAUGUUGAUUGCAGAAAACUUCAUGACUGGUUACCGUGUUGUUUUUGACCGAGAAAAGCUCAUUUUGGGUUGGAAGAAAUCUGAUUGUAAGUGUUUAUUUUCUUCUCAUAAUUACUGUUCUCCAAUUUAUUGUUUUAUGCUGAGGUUGAUAUAUACUUUUUUGAGCCCUUAAUAGGUUAUGACAUUGAGGAUCAUAAUAAUGUUGUCCCAACAAGACCAGACUCAGAUAAUGUGCCUCCUGCAGUUGCCGCGGGACUCGGCCGUUACCCUGCCACUGAUUCAAGUAGAAAGUCCAAUUACAAUUCUCAACAAUCAAGUGCAUCACCGGCCUCGCUUUAUAGCCGCAUUUCACUUUUGACUUGCAUUGGAUAUCUAAUCUUUUGUAUUUUGUUUUGUUUACAUGAUCUAUGAUCCUUCAUUUGUAUCCAACAUUGAUAGUUUAUGGUACAUUUAGCUCAUAUUGUAAGAUUUUGUGCAAGAUUUUUUCUAUCAUAUUGUAACAUAGUGUAAAUGUCAUCUAGUUUUCCUUCCCAUUAUAGCCUCAAUGUCUUUCCUUUUUUGUCAAGUAAUUUAGUUGCUAGAAUUCUAUCUUUAAGGUGAAUAAAUGGAGUGUCUGAGAUUCGAAUCUCGAUAUAAUAUGAUCUCCAUACAACUAAACUCACGGAAACAAUGUCUUUAUUUACUAUAGUAUAUAGUUUAUGUGAAUUUUUUAUUUAGCCCAAUAAAAUUUCGCUUUAAUAUAUAUAUACUAGGCAUUAUUAUAGAAAGCUUAUCCAUGGAUGCAUUAUUAUUAAACUCAACAAGCGUAAAAGGAUGGUUUCUUCCUUUGUGUUCAUUUGGGGUUGAUAUUUUUAGUUGGAAGGUCUCUAUUGUGUAGAAUGCAGUGGCUCAACUAGGCAAUUGCACUGUCACUUUCACUCUUCAUGGUUUAUUCAUUCAUGUGUCACAACUCACAAGACACAAAUCAAGAGACCAAAAAAAAAAAAAACUUAAUAGAUAAAUUUGGAGGAGUAUAAUUUUUUAAAAUAAUCAAUAUAAUAAAAGUUGUCAAAAAGAAACAAAAGAAAAUCAUCCAUACACUCCUAACUGCUACUGCCACAUGGCUGAAUUGGAUUGAUCUUACAUAAUUUGUAUUCACUCCAUCAAUAAUGUCUAAUUUUUUUCUUCUUAAUCAUCCAAGUAAGGUGACUCUUUUGAACUUGUAUUCAUUUUUAAAUGAAGUUUAUAAACUACUUUCAAUUCAAUCAUUUGAUUUAAUGUUUGAUUCUUUAGAUUUAUGCAAAAAUGUAAAGGCAAAAGCAUGCUCAAUUGUAUGCUAUUUUCUAAAACAACCAAACUUAUGAGUCAAAAGUAAAAGAUUAAAAAACCAAAAAUUACAAACAGAACAAAAGGACUAAAGAGUAACUAUUGUUCAGGAUGAUACAUUGGACAAAGUCUAUGGUGCACAAGUGACUCAAGUUGUGCAUCAUGCACAAGUCAUCAAAAACGCUAUAACGAAUACGAAAAAAUUUACAGUUGGAUUGAAAGUUUAUAUCGUAUAGAUCAUUCAUAAAAAUUUUUAAAAGAUUGAAAAUCAUUUGAUAUGUUAUUGAGACCCGUCAAAAUAAACGGUUUAUGGAUUUUUAUUGAAUACCGUUAAUCUUGAUGGGUCUCAAUAACAUAUCAAAUGAUUUUCAAAAAAAUUUAAAAAAUUUAUGAANNNNNNNNNNNNNNNNNNNNNNNNNNNNNNNNNNNNNNNNNNNNNNNNNNNNNNNNNNNNNNNNNNNNNNNNNNNNNNNNNNNNNNNNNNNNNNNNNNNNNNNNNNNNNNNNNNNNNNNNNNNNNNNNNNNNNNNNNNNNNNNNNNNNNNNNNNNNNNNNNNNNNNNNNNNNNNNNNNUUUUCAAAAAAAUUUAAAAAAUUUAUGAAUGAUCUAAACGAUAUAAACUUUCUAUCAAACGGUGAAUUUUAUAAAAUUCGUAUUCGUUAUAAAAAUAUCGAAGACUUGUGCACCACUUAAAUGGGCAGCCAAAUGAUUAUCGAUAUUGGAUUUAAGAACAACUUUAUAAGUAGGUUGGACACCACAUUUUUACCAAAAACCUUAAGGUGUUUGGUUUAUGGAUCUCCCCCUCAAGUGUGAGUCCGCCUGACCACUUUUAUCAAGAAGACUUUCGAUACAAAGAGUUGUCGUCAAACCAUCGGCUCUGAUAGCAUUGUUAGAUGUAUAUUUUUAUAGGAAAAUAUUGAGUCCGGAUGUCUCCGGUGAAAUAUAAAAAUGAAAUAUAAAAAAAUUUAAUUAAUAGAAAUAAAUUUUAAGGGCGAGAACGUUACACAUGAGAGAUUCCCAUGGGAGGGAAUUCUUUUCCGAAAAUAUUUAUUACUUUUUUUUUUCUUUUAUAAUUUUGCUCUUUUUGUAAUUUUCAAAUAUAAAACGAAGAAUUGUAUUAUUCAAACAUCGAAAUAUUGACAAAAUAAGUGACGGUAUAUAUAUUUGUCUCGUACUCUUUAAAUAAAAAAAUGAUAAAUUAAACGGUUUAAUUGAUAUCCACCGAUAGUGUAAAAUAGUUUUACACAAUCGUUCAAUAAACAACCAUUAUUUUGUCAUGUUAUAUUAAGAAAGUGGGGUGAUGAGGCGGAAAACAUGGUUAGUAUUGAUUAAUAGUGUAAAAUUAUUUUACACCGUCGAUGUAUAUCAAUUAAAUCCUAAAUUAAUUAUAAAAAAAAUAAAUUAAAUCCUAAAUUAAAUGCGCUCCUAAAUGAUCAUGUCCCCACAAUUUAUACGUGUGGACUGUGGGCUCAAGAACUACCGAGUUGACCAAAGACUUAUUAAGCUUAAUUAAUAUCUCAAUUAACAACUCAAUUAACCUUUUCUUGACAGAAAAUUAAGAACUUAAUUAGAAUUAUAGAAUCCUCUACCAAACACAAUCAUUUCUUAAAUACAUCUCUUUUUAUUCUUCCUUUCAUUAUCUUCUCAAUCCACAUUUUCCACCAAACAUCAAAAUUAAAUUAACCAUAUCAUUUUCCCGGAAAAUUCCCCUGCAAAUUUUCUCUCCAUAGAAAAUUCAUUCUCUUCAACUUCAUCAUGGCUUGUAACCAUAGCCAUGACUCUGUACAAGUAAUUUCUUCAAUGGUGUUAUUGGUGUUAAUGAUGGUGUUGAGUUUAUCUUCACAGACUUGUUACAGUUUUGGCAAAUUCGGAUUGGAUAUCCAUCAUAGAUUCUCCGAUCCAGUUACUCAGAUUCUAGGCAUUGAUGAUGAAUUUUUACCUCAAAAAGGAACUCCUCAAUAUUAUUCUGCAAUGGUUCAUAGAGAUCGCGUUUUUCACGGUCGUCGACUUGCCGUUGAUCACCGUACUCCGGUCACUUUCGCCGCCGGCAAUGAAACUCUUCGAAUUGCUGCAUUUGGAUUGUAUGACACUUUAUCUCCCACUUGUUAAAUAUUCCACUUUGGUUUAUUUUUUCUUAUUAGUUUUGUUUUAAAAAUAAAUAAUUUAAAAGUUUUUUUUUUUUUUAUGGUCUUGGUAUUUAUCAGAAUUUUGACUAUAAAAAAGAAUUUAUGGAAUCCAAAAAAAUAAAAUUUUAUCUUGAAAAUAAGUCAAAUAUUUGUAGUAGUACUAAUAAAUUACGUCAUUUUCUAUACAAAAAUUAUCUCUUUUUAUUGAGAUUCCUAAACAAUGAUAUAAGGUAUAAGCAUCAUAUAAGGUAGUACUUGUUACUAGUAUUUUUCAAAAGAAUAUAGGGAAUUUAUUGUGUUUGGUUUCGUACAUGAGAAAGUGUAUGGGAAAUGAAUAUUGAUUUCAUUAAUGUUUUGUUGCGUUAACCCUCCGGUUCUUGGGUAAUGUCUGAUCAAGAAUUGUUCCAGAAUGAUCUGUCAUUUGGUGGAGUUUAUUAAUCACUCGAGUUCAAUGUCUUUGUUAGUCAAUUUGAUUAAUUUGAAAACAAUAAUAUUAAGCUGGAAAAUUCACUGGUCUUUAUUGUGAUACAAUACAAGAGUGUAGUCUUUUGCUUGCCAGAUACAACUUGUUGAAGGAAAUUUGGGCUUAGUUUAUCAGUAUAUUUAUCCUCCUUCUUUUUUAGGAUUAAAAAAAAGUUUAGGUAUGAUAACAUAAAAUACUAAAAAUAAUCACUUACACAGUAGUUAAGAAUAUUAACAUUAAUUGAAAAAUAUGUUUGGAUUUUGGAAUGAUAACAUUAAAUAGGGUGAAGUUAGUUAGAAUUUGCUUGUUUGAGUCAAUCAAAUAUGACAAGUUUCUUUUUUCCUUAUAUUUGAGUCUAGAGUGAAUAUUGUAUAUUUGUAUAUGAUUUUGUGUAUGUCUGUAAUAAUUUAUCCUCUUUAUUUGGAUUUCAGUUUGCAUUUUGCCAAUGUUUCCGUUGGGACACCGCCUUUGUGGUUUUUGGUGGCGUUAGAUACCGGGAGUGACUUGUUUUGGUUACCUUGUAAUUGUACCAGUUGCGUGCGCGGCUUAAAGACACAAACUGGGAAGGUAUGCUCUUUGCACUCUCUUUUUGCUGGUUAAGAUUCAUACUCAUUACUCAACUAUAGUAACUCUAUCACUAUACUUUGUAUUAGUAUUGUGUUUCCUUUGUAAUAACGAUACUUACAUGACACUUUAUUUUCAUCUUAAUUAAUUGUUACUUGUUAGAUAUCUUGAUGGUUAGUCUUGAUUAAAUGGAUUCUCUUUUCUUUUUUACCUAUGGUUUUUUUGGGAAUUCUAAACAGAAUGUGUCUCUCUUUAAUUUAUUUAUUUUUCAAAAUUUUCAUUUUCAGACAAUUGAUCUUAAUAUCUAUGAGCUUGAUAAGUCAUCUACAAGGGAAAAUGUUCCAUGCAAUAGCAACAUGUGUAAACAAACACAAUGUCCUUCAUCUCGUAGUAGUUGUCGCUAUGAAGUUGAGUAUCUUUCAAAUGAUACUUCGUCUUCUGGAUUCUUGAUAGAAGAUGUCUUACACUUGAUUACAGAUAAUGAUCAAACAAAAGAUGUUGACACACAAAUUACUAUUGGGUAAAAUUCUCAAAAUCUUGCUGAGAAAUUAUAUUGGCCGUGUUGUAUUUUGAAGCCUGAAUGCAUUCUUGGUCAAAUCACUUCGCUUUGAUUCCUAGUUUCCAGUAGUGAUCCUUAAACUAAUAGUCAACACAAUUGCUUCUGUAAUGUUUGAUUCUCUCUUUGAAACUUCCUUCUAUAAAUUACCCUUUUGUCUUCGAUGUUUCUCAUUUUCUUGCUAUUGAUAACCUUUAGAAUGUGUCUUCCUAAUACCAAUUUACGGAAUUUGAGAUCAAUUUUAUUGCAGUUGUGGCCAAGUUCAGACUGGUGUGUUUCUAAAUGGUGCAGCUCCAAAUGGUUUAUUUGGACUUGGUAUGGAAAAUGUAUCUGUUCCGAGCAUCCUAGCCCAAAAGGGGCUUAUUUCAGAUUCUUUUUCAAUGUGUUUUGGAUCUGAAGGUUCCGGAAGAAUCACAUUUGGUGAUACUGGCAGCUCGGACCAAGGAAAAACACCAUUCAACCUCAGGGAAUUGCAGUAAGUGGAUGUUAUCGUCAUUUCUCUUUUAACAAAAAGUUAUCAAAUUAUGCAAAAGAAAACAUGAAAAAGUGUCUAACUUACUAGUGCUUAUUUGGAUUUUGACCUUGGAUAUUUCUUGCCAGUCCAACCUAUAACAUCACCGUUACACAAAUUGUUGUGGGAGGAAAUGCUUCUGAUCUUGAGUUUCAUGCAAUUUUCGACUCUGGUACCUCGUUCACAUACCUAAAUGACCCAGCUUAUACACUAAUAUCUGAGAAGGUAUUAUAUAGUUUAUCAAUAUGGAAUAAGGAAUUCCAUGUCAUUCGUUGUUAAAAUAUUUUCAUUAUGUUUGUAGUUCAAUUCUCUGAUCAAAGCUGUUCGACAUUCACCUCAAUCACCCGAUUCUGAUCUCCCUUUUGAAUAUUGUUAUGACAUAAGGUAAUAAAGGUUUGAAAGAAACAAUCAAUUUUUCUUCUUUUUUAUAAACAAUUAUUAUUAGGUACUGAAUUUAAUUCUACUUUACCUGCAGUCCAGAUCAGACAAUUGAAGUUCCCUUUUUGAAUCUAACAAUGAAAGGUGGAGACGAUUAUUAUGUCACGGAUCCAAUAGUACCAGUUUCUAGUGAGGUGAGAACAUAAGCUCAAAUUUUUGGUUUUUUCAUUCCUAAAAUGAUGCUUUACCUUCUUAAUCUCUAAUUCCUUUUGUGAUCAUCCAGGUUGAAGGAAAUCUUCUUUGUUUGGGGAUACAGAAAAGUGGCAAUUUGAAUAUCAUUGGACGUGAGUAUAACUGAAGAAAUAUUUCUUCUACGAAAAUAUAUGAUGAUAAAGUUUUUCAUUCAGAGUUAUCAAUUAUAUUGUCCAUUUUGAAACUAUUUUGUUAAUCUAUGCCUUUUAUUCUUAGUUGUAACUUGUAACAAUGUCAUGACAAGACCAUAUAUGACUUCAUGCAGAAAACUUCAUGACUGGUUACCGUAUAGUCUUCGAUCGCGAGAACAUGAAUCUUGGUUGGAAGGAAUCUAACUGUGAGUGUAAUUAACCUCUUAAGCAUUAAGAUCUUGGGGCACAUUUUACUUCUCUUUUCCAUUGAUUGUUGUUGAAACAUUGAAAUAUGAUCUUCUUAUCAGGUACUGAUGAAGUGCUCUCCAAUACAAUGCCUAUAAACAAAUCUCACCCUCCUGCAAUUUCCCCUGCUAUUGCUGUGAAUCCUGUGGCUAAAUCAGAACCAUCAAGUAAUACUGGCAGACUUUCACCUAGUCAGUCAUUUAGGAUGAAGCCUACUUUUGCAUAUAUGGUGAUCCUUUUUACACUUAUAGCCUUCUUUUAGCAUCUUUCUGUCAUUCUAUUAUGUAUUGUUUAAAUUAAUAGGCUUAUUAAUUUUAUCAUACGAGAAGCAAUAUUGCUUCCUUUUUUGUGUUUUUUUUAUAGUUUUCAUAGCAUUAAUUUGAUCUUGGGUUUGUAAAUAAUAAGUACAUAGCAAUAGCAGAGUUGUAAACUACAGAAAUUCCAUUCUCACAUUAUAUGUUAUACGGCAGUUGGUUGGAAUCUUUUAUUUUCAAUGCUGAUUAUCUCCAAAAACAUUGCAAUAACUGGACAAGUCAAUGCACAAGUCGGUACAAAUAAAUAAAUAAAUCAGAGUCUAUGAGGUAAAGGCCAAUGUAUUUAACAAGAAUUGAUAAUAUAAAAAUUGCAUUUUAUAUUUAAUGUAUAGUAAUAUUUUAAUAAAUUAUUAUUAUUUUUUAAUAAAAAGUUACUAUCGUUGGGCUUUCGACAUUGUUCACGCUUCAGGCCUAUUGGGCCGGGCUGAAGCGUGAGGGGGUGUGUUAGCGGCCAACACUCGGUGGGAUUUAGUCCCACAUCAGAUAGAUAGGACUCUUGAGAAGAGUUUAUAAAGAGGAGACAAUCCUCACCUUACAAGCCGGUUUUGUAAGGAUGCGUUAGGCCUCGAUAUUCGUGACAAGCUUAAUCCCAUAAUUAUGAAUAGUGGCACUCAUUUAAGAACGUUUUAUACCGAUUAGUCGGUUUUUGAGUCAGAUAUCAAGUUUUUUUGUUUUUUAAAAGUUUUAUAGUGUAAAAAAAAAGUUUUAUAGAGUAUAUCUUCAAUUGUCAAUCCAAAAGAUCUUCACAUUAUGAAACCCAUGAGAGGCAAUUGCUUUUGUCUUUUAUUUUCUUAUUUAGGACACUGAAUAUUAAUGUUUCUAAUUAGUAAUUAGCACCUUUGGACUACAAUCCACAUUACCACUAAAAGCUCCAAUAAUUAUGACUUUGGAAAAAUACCUUGUCAACAUCAUAACUAACAAAGUUAAAAUGCUUAGAAUGCAAGUUUAGGAAGAAAAAGAAACAACUGAGAUGGCUCAACCGAAACCAUCUUAGAUUCUUCCAUCAUAUUAUUGAGGUCAUGUCCCUAGCCUUGCCUUGUUGGUAAGAACAAGGAAAUAUAUGUAAUAGUAGUUGAUUUUGUUAGCUCUUAUCAAACUUUGGCAUGACCUAACAUCAAAUCCACAUUAAAGAGCCAACAGAAACAUAGUAAUCUAAUAACCUAACAUAUCAUUUCUCACAUUAGGUAUAGGACAAUAUACCAGAAAGAAAAGAAAACAUGAUUGCCUUUUGGUAAUACUGAUGAAAAUGCUUUGACAUUACUACAUUGAUAAUUCUACUUAAACAAAUUGGUUGUCUUAAGCUACAUCAUAUCAAUAACUAACUAAUCACUUUUUUCCACUCUAUAAAUAACAAUGUUAUCCACAACUAGAAGCUAAGAAACAUUGAAUUAAUAGUACUAAUUUGCUUGCAUGGCUUCUAUGGUUACAUUAAUCUUGAUUUUAUUUCUCUUUUUUUCACUAGUUUCAACAGGGAAUUCACUUAGUUAUAAUUACUAUGAAAAGACAUGUCCUGAUGUAGAGUUCAUUAUUGCCAAGACAGUAAAAGCUGCCACUGCUUCGGACAAAACUGUCCCUGCAGCGCUUCUCCGAAUGCACUUCCAUGACUGCUUCAUUCGGGUAAUGCUACAAAAAGAAACUGAUUCGAAUUCCAUCAAGUCAAUGAAUCAUGAACUUGACCUAGUCAUGCCAACUUAUAAAGAUUGGAUGAUUUGAGUUCUGACUUUUGUGAAUUCAAUCCAAAAUGCAGAAUUGAAACAUGAAACGUCUGAUCUUGAUUUGACGGUUCAUACCGACAACUGCAUGAUUGUUUGAAUGCACUAAUCAAAAUCUGAAACCAUGCAAUUUUCUCUUUUUUGAAGACAUCGUAGUAUAUCUCAUUCUUUUUGUUAAACUUUUUUGAAGGGAUGUGAUGCUUCUGUGCUGCUAAACUCAAAAGGAAGCAACAAAGCAGAAAAAGAUGGACCACCAAAUGUUUCUCUGCAUGGAUUCUUUAUCAUUGAUAAUGCAAAGAAAGCGGUAGAAGCUGCUUGUCCUGGUGUGGUCUCUUGUGCUGAUAUCCUAGCACUAGCAGCAAGAGAUGCUGUAUUUCUGGUAUAAUAAUAUAAUAAAGCUUAAUAAACUAAAAAAUUAUCAUCACAUAACUAAUUAAGGAUCCUAUAUAACUAUCAUUAAUUUUCUUAAGCUUUGACUUAUACGACCAACGUUUUAUGUGGAUUCAAUAUUGUUGCAGUCUGGAGGUCCAGGUUGGGAUGUUCCUAAAGGAAGAAAAGAUGGAAGAAUAUCCAAGGCCAGUGAAACAAUACAGUUACCAUCACCAAACUUCAACAUAUCACAACUACAGAAGAGCUUCUCUCAAAGAGGUCUCUCAAUGGAAGACUUGGUAGCCUUGUCAGGUAACAAAUUUCCAAGCCCAAAACUUCACCAUUUACUUUUUCUUUAAGUAGCAACAAAAAAAAAUGAAAAUUGUUCGAGUACAUCAAAAAGUCUCAUAUUGUUUGAUAGUCGAGGCUUGGGUGAUUUAUAAACACUCACACUCUUAACUAAAGACAAAACCAUGAGGGCUUAGACACAAGACUAAAGUGGACAAUACCUCGAAAAAGUGAUGCAACAGACGUGAGGCAGGAACAUUAAUGGCACCUUAUGUGGAAAUCGAGGGUCUAAGUCACGCAAGAGGGCUAACAUAACAUGCCCUUUUGCACCUUAGGCUUGACGGGGAGCUACUGUUCUGAUACACCAUAAAGUUCCACAUUAUUUGGGAAUUGAUGCUAUACCAAAAAGUCUUGCAUUGUUUGGUCAUUGAUACUAAGAGUAGUUUAUAAACACUCACACUACUCAAUCCGCUUACACACAAGACCCAAAGCGAACAAUACACAAAGUGUGUGUUUAUAAACUACCAUUAAUCUUCCUUUCCAAGCAAUGCACUACUCUUUGGUGUACUAGAACAAAAUUCCCUCCAAUUUUAUAUUUUUUCAUCUCUGUAUUCCAUAGUUAAUUCAAUUAUUUCUAGUAGUUAUCUCUAAAUUUGUCUCUUUUUGCCCUUAUGUAGGAGGACAUACCUUAGGUUUCUCUCAUUGUUCAUCCUUCAACAGCAGAAUCCACAACUAUGAUGCUACACAUGAUGUGGACCCUAAAUUAAACCCAUCAUUUGCAUCAAAGCUAAAAUCAAUUUGUCCAAUAAAAAAUCAGUUAAAGAAUGCAGGCAGCACUUUAGAUGCUUCUUCAACUACAUUUGAUAAUACAUAUUACAAGUUGAUCCUCCAAGGGAAGGCUAUAUUUUCUUCUGAUCAAGUUCUUAUUGAUACUCCAAAUACCAAAGAUCUUGUAUCUAAGUUUGCUACCUCACAAGAUGAAUUUUAUAAGGCUUUUGUGAAAUCCAUGAUCAAAAUGAGUAGCAUCAAUGGUGGUCAAGAGAUUAGGAAGGACUGUAGGGUGGUUAAUUAAUUAGGAAGCUUUUCUUGGUUUAAUUCUAGUUGAGCUGUGAUAUUCUGAUUCGUUUCGACAUUCUGUCUUUGGCAAGUUCAAUAAGCUAGAUAGAUAGUUUAUAACUUUGAUUGACUUAUAAGUCCCUUCACCAAAGUAGAGAUGUAGGUGUUGGCUACAUGAGUUUAUCUCAAUAGUUUGUGAAGUAAGUUUUUUGAGAAGCUGUUUCAAUAUAAUUUUUUAGUCUAUAGAAUCUUUUUUUUCACUUUUAUCUUUGCUAUUUUGCCUUAAUCCUCUUUUACUAUUUCUUAAAAUAAAAGAAUAAAUUAUUCUCUUGAGAUACUUAAUUUUUUCUAUUUUAUUAUUUUAUUAUUAUUAUUAUUAUUAUUAUUAUUAUUUAUUUUUUGUGAUUAAUUAGUUUUCAAUAAUAUAAUAAUUUUCCAAAAAUAAUAAUAAUAAUAAUAAUGUAAUUUUCCACUAUUUCCUUUUGUCUGGAACUCACUUCUACACUCUUCUGAGAACUAAAAUCAAUCAAAGCACAGCACCCAUGGCGUUUACUCACUCUCUGCCACCACCGCUUCAACUUGUUAAACCCUCUUCCAUCUCUCCAAAACCCUCCAUUUUCUUCAACCAAUCCUCUUCCAUCUCCUCUAAUCUCUUCAACCCCCCUUCCACACUUCAUAACCCUUCUCCAUUUUCCACCCUCCGCACCAGGAUCAUCGGUAAUUAUUAAACUUCUUAAUUCAAUUAACUUUACUUCUAUUACCGCUUUUUUUUCCCCAAUUAACUCGUCCAUCUCUGAUGCAUGUAAUUUCGCCAUUGUUUUGUUUUAUAUUAAUUAAUUCAGUUAAGUCCAAAGCACAAGAACCUGAAGUUAGUGUGGCUUCUGAUGCAUUUACGCAGUUUAAGCAUUUGCUUUUGCCAAUUACUGAUAGAAAACCCUAUCUAUCUGAGGGAACAAAACAGGUUAUUUUCUUUUAUUUUUUUGUUUAAUUUUUUUAUUUUGUAAAAUUGAUUUUGACUGAAUUUGAGUCGAAUGUAAAGUGAUUUAUGUUUGGAUAUAUUCAUGUAAAAGUGAGUUGAAUAAAAAAUUUGAGUGUAAAAAUCAAUUUUAGAAUCAGAAGCUACAAUUUUUAGCUUCAAGUAGAAUAAAUUCUAGAGUCAAAAUCAAUGCUAAUUUAGAGAAACCAAACAUGCCAAAAUCAAUUUUGACCCCUCUAGAAGUGGAACCAAACAUGCAUUUAAUUAAGUGUUUAUUAUAGCAUAUGUGCGGAUCAUAUAAUUGUGAAUAAAGUCAAAUGGCUUUUGUAUAAGAUAGUAAGUUGUUUUCAUAAGCAAUGUCAAACAGUCUCACAAGUGCUAUGUCAUCAGAUAAGCUUAAAUAAAGUCAAUUCAAGCAGACUCUUAAUUUUGUGCAUUUCUUCAUUAAAUAUUGACUUGUGGUUGUGGCUAUUUUUAUUUUACCAGGCUAUAGCUACUACUACUGCCUUAGCUAAAAAGUAUGGAGCUGACAUAACAGUUGUAGGUAUGUUAAUAUGUGUGAUUGUGUGAGUGUGUGUAUACAUUGUGUUGAUGUUAUGCAUUUUUAUUAGGGUGUUUGUAUGAAGCUGCAAAGGAAAAUCUUUUUACAUUUUUGCUUUAUGUACUUUAUAUACUUGUGUAGUUAUCGAUGAACAGCAGAAGGAGUCACUGCCUGAGCAUGAGACCCAACUAUCUAGCAUCCGUUGGCAUAUAUCUGAAGGUUUGUAUAAAGCUUUUUGUCUAUUCAUCAGUCGUUGAAUUCUUUUUUUUUUGUUGUGGAGUUAGCUCUUCUAAAGCGAGUAGUAAACUAGUGACGUAAAAAAGAAUGAUUGAUAUUUCAAGAUGCUCAUGAUUUGUUAUGUAUUUGUAUGCAAUACCAACCCUUGAUUUAUUUAUCAGUGAUUGAUAGUAAUCACUUUAGAGGAACCGAGUCAUUUUCUUGUUGAGGCCCUUGAAGGUACAUUAUCAAUAAUAUGUUUCCUUGUUUGAUGAGCAUCAACAUCCCUUCCCAGCUUUAGCAUUAUCUUAGAAUGUUUUUGAAUUGUAAGUUUGUUGUGUAUUUUAGUUGAGCUACUCCUAUAGAAUUGUGGUGAAAGCACAACUUUGAUUAAUUGAUUUAAGAUCCUAAAAGGAUGUACACACAAUGAAUUAUAGGAUUUGAUACACAAUUAUUUACAGCACAAGCAGAAUAACACAAUACAUGUAAUUGAUUCAUGCAUAAUUUUUGUCUUGGGUAAGAAGGGGAUUUGAGGGAGUGAAGGGUAAAAGAGGAUGAAAGGGGAGGGAUGAGGGGAGACUGGCCUGGGAAGAGAAAACGUUUUGGGUAUUUUUUCUUUUUUAAGGGAUGGUCUAAAUUAUUAAGUAACAAAUUUUUAGAGUUACUUUGUCUAAUCCCAUAACCCUAUUUUAAAUAAAACAUAGAACAAGUGUUUUGUGAAACCAAGCCCUUCAUUUUGUAGCUAAUCAAAUGCAGCGGCAGUGUUAAGAAUGAUGCGAUAUUCAUUUGUUUCGCUCAUUGUUUUAAUCAGUUCCAACUAAACAUUUAUGAAAUAUAAGCGGGCUUAAGGUGUAAGAGUUAUUAUAAAUCAUUAUUCAUCCCAUCAUUGUGUUUUGUAUUUAAUAAUGAAAAAUACAGGUGGAUUGAAGGACUAUAAAUUGCUUGAGCGGCUUGGUGAUGGAAGUAAGCCAACGGCAAUAAUUGGUGAUGUUGCUGAUGAACUUAAUUUGGAUUUGGUAGUUAUUAGCAUGGAAGCAAUUCAUACAAAGCAUAUAGAUGCAAAUUUGCUUGCUGAGUUCAUUCCCUGUCCUGUCAUGCUUUUGCCAUUGUAGUUUACACUUUUUUAGACUUUAGACAAGGAAUAUUUUUGUUUCAUUUGCAAUGUCUUCUUUGCUGCAAUUUGAUGUUCAAUGUUGUUAUCUAGUAUAUGCUACUAUAAAGUGUUAGUGAAAUUUUAUUUAAGCAUUCUGUAUUUGACUAAGGUGGAGAGUGUGUAUGUUUGUUCUGAAACUUGACUAAUAAUUAAUCCUGCAAAGGAAAUGAUGGGCAUGUGAGGAUUUAGAUCAUUUCAUGUGAGGCUAAUAGCUUUUCAUAUGAGGACUAAUGUUAGUAUCAAGGAAUGUGGGCCCUCAUGUUUUAGGUUGUGUAUAAUUUUCUUCUAUAAUUUUCAAGAAUCACAUGUUGGUUUGGUUAUAUAUCUCUGCAACUCAGCAAGAUACAAAGUACAAACUAGAUAAGAAUAGAUGUGUGUUUCCUCUAUCGACAUUCGACACCAUUCAGGAUUAUGAAACAACAUGCUAGCUAGACAGGUGAGCAAGAAAAAUUCAUGGACGAGCUUUGGGGUGAGUAUAAUAUUUGCAAUAGUGAAUAUAAUUUAGUCACACUUAUGUUUUGCAAAAAUAAUGAGAUAUUUCACCGAUUUCAUUUUUAGUGUCAUAUUUACAAUAAAAAUAUUUUAAAACAAGUGUUAUUUAUGUUUUUGGAAUAAAGUGAGUGUUAUUUUUAGUUUUCAACACUAUUAAACAUUAUGCUUUUUUUAUUUAUUUAUAAAAUAUUGUUAAAUAUUAUGUUUCUUUUGUAUAAUUUAAUUAAUACUAUAUAUAUUAAUAAUUUGUUUUUGAUGAUUUGUGUCAAAUCAAUAUUAUUCACUAUGUUUUAAAUAUAAUGAAUACAUCAAUAUGAAAAAAGAAUAAUUUAAUUAAGUUUUUAUUAUGAAUUUAAUUUAAUAAAGUUAUCAUCUAGUAUUUCAUUUAUUUAAAAUGAAAACCUAAUAAUUUAAUAAUUUAAUCUAGUAUUUUUAACAGUAAAGCUCCUAUUGGUAAUAAAAAAAAGGAAAAACUAGUAAAACUCCUACUUUCCUCAAAAGAAAUUAAUAUGUUUUUCUUGAUAUAAAAAAUUAAUUAUAUUAAACUCUUAAUUUGCACAUUAACGGUGAAAUUAUAAGACUAAUUAAUAAAAAAACAAUGUAGGUUAUACUCGUGAUGAUGCAAUCCAAAGUAUAUUGGUUAACGAGACUUUUUUGGGCUACAAAGCUAAGUAAAAAGAAAAGAACAGAGGCAAAGAAAAAAAGAAAUGAUUAUUACCUAAGCAAGAAAGUUCUAGCCGUGCCGCUUCGUAGAAAAUCAAGAAUGUCUUCCGGAGAAGAAGCGUGAAUAGAUAGAUCAACAUAUGAGGAGGCUCUAAAUUUUACUAAAUCCACACAUUGAUUUUUCUCUCUAAGGAUGUGACAAAGAGAGACAUUUGUUGUGAAAAAUUUAUCUUUAAACUCAAUGCACAUCGAUCAAAAAGAUCAAUAAUAAAUUGAAGCUGAGAGUUCUUGGCCUUGCUGAAGAUGAGGACAUCAUCUACAAAGAGAAUGUGAGACAGACGAGGUCCAUCAUCAAAGAUAUGGGUAAGGGGCUAGUUACGAUGGACAACAUUGUUGAUGGCAAUAGAAAGUUUUCCAUACAAGGAAUGAACGAGUAAGGAGACAGAUGAUCACCUUGCUUGAGAUCAUGAUAGGGCUUGAAAUGAGACAUUUUAUUCCCAUUCCAUAAUAAAGAGAAGUUGGAGGACGUACGCAAUACAUGAUAAGUCGAAUUGUAGUUUUAGGAAACCAAAAUCGUGGAGGCAGAAUUUAAAAUAAUUUCCAUUAACAUUAUCGAAAGUUUUAUGAAGUCAUAAAACACGAAUAUAAAAGAUCCCUUCGAUGAAAAAAAUAGAACGAGUAUAAAAGAUCCCUUUUAAAAAAAAUAGAUUUUGUCAAAAAAAAAAAAAGAAAAAGAAAAAGUUAUAGAUGGAAAAAAAAAAGAUAAAAUAAAAGUGUAAUAUACAUGGAAUGAUGGAAUAAAAUACCUAACCCUUGUAUACGCGGCAUAUAAAUUCCUUAAUUCACUCCGAAAUCAUAUUUUUUGUUACAGAGAUCAAAACGAAACCAAACCCUCAAUCCUAAUUUCACUCUGAUUCAGGUUUUCAUUUCCUAAGCAAAACACUUCUCCGAUUCUCAAUCCAAUGGCUUCUUCUUCCAAUCACCCCGCCGCCGCACCUUUUUCCCCUNNNNNNNNNNNNNNNNNNNNNNNNNNNNNNNNNNNACCUCGGCAACAUCUCCGGUGGAAACAAUGCCGAUAUUGGUAAGAGACAGGUUUGGAGUAAACCCUCCAAUGCUGCUGCUGCUUCCGUCAUGGGUGCUGAAUCAUGGCCUGCUUUAUCUGAAUCCGCUAAGGCUCCGGCCAGAUCACCACCGCCGCCGCCUCUUGAAUUGGUGCAAACUUCUUUGGAUGCAUCGACAUCGACUCAAUUGCAGGUAUUUUUUUGCUCACGUUUUAGUUUCUUAUUUAUUACGUAAAAAAAUUAAAUUAAAUAAAAAUAAAUAAAGUUUACAAUUUACAUUGCUAGUUUUUUCAGUAUAUAUUUAAUUUUAGUAAUUAUUUUAUUUAUCAUGUUAGGGUUUGUUGUAGUUGCUGUGUUACUAAAUUGGUUUUGUUUUUGUUUUUGUUUUUUCUAUAUUAUUUGCAUAUAACUGAAUUAGUGGGGAUUGUUAUUAGAAGAUCAAGUUUAUUACUUAUUUAGUGUUAAUUGCAAAAUGUGUUUGAUUUUUUUAUUUUUACUUUCAUGCUAUUUAUGUUUUCUGUUUUUGGUUUGUUUGUGGAGAUAGAAAUUGAUGACAUUGUUUUGAGUGAUGAUUUUAGGGUACUGGAAGCAUGCUUCCUACUCCUCAGACACAAGUUAACGAUACUGCCAGUGUCAACAAUGCGGUGCCGGGGCCGACUCACCAAAGACCUUAUAGGCGUUCAAAUUCGAAUGUGUCUUCCAAUGGAUACCACUUGCCGCAAAUGUCUGGGCCUCUAGGUUCUGUUGCUGUCCCACCAGGGUCCCACAACCAAACCUCUGCUCCAGAGGACCAUCCACUGAGAGCUGGAUUUGUGCCUAAUUAUCAACCGCAACACCGGAAUUCAUUCAGGAAUCGGAAUGGUGGUCCACAUCCACGCGGAGAUGGUUCUCACCAUAAUAACUAUGGGAACAGGCGUGAUCAGGACCGCAGAAAUCAGGACUUGAAUGCCCACCAGAGAAAUUUUAAUGGUAGAGACCAUUAUAGGUCUCCAAGAUUUGUUCAACAGUUUCCUAGGCCUCCAAUGCCUGCUAUUCAUGCUCAAUACUAUUACUAUUCACCACCACCAUCACCAAUUCCGCCUUUUGGGGGCUCUUAUGCAUACCCUGGUAUGCUGUGUUAACACUAAGAUGGUAUUUUAUAGUUUAUACUUUAUGUACAUGCUCUGAUGAUUAUGCACAUUAAUUGCAUUUACAGAACCACCAAUACCACCUCCAAUGGUAUAUGGUCCACCUCCGCCCAUGGAGCCACUUCGUGGUGUUCCGUAUGUGCCGCCACCGAUACCACCUAAUGCAAUAUUUAUUCAACCUCCGAUUACUGAGUUGCAUACUAAGAUUGUCAACCAGAUCAACUACUAUUUCAGGUAAUGUUUGUACAUUGGUCUGCUGCUAUUUUUGUUUUAUUGUUUUUUGAUUUUUAAUUGUUUUUACAAAGCUGAGCUUUUACCACCACUUGUCUUUUUUGCAGUAAUGAGAAUUUAAAUAACGAUACAUAUUUGAAAAGUCAGAUGGAUGAUCAGGGCUGGGUUCCUUUAAGUUUAAUAGCAGGUUUCAAAAAAGUAAGUUCCUUUGGGUUAACUGAUAUUUUCUUUGAGAUGGGUCAUUGUUUUGUUUAUAACUCAUUGAUUAUGUAGAGCAAUAUUUUUAAAAACUUUACAUAAUCAAUCUACUGUUGAAGCAUUAAUUUAUAUCUGAUCGGUAUCUUCUAUCUUUUACUGGAAGCUUCUUGUUAUAUUCUUUAGAUACAUUUUCAUUAAGUUUAUUCGGUAAUGAUUGAUUCAAUAUGUAGUAAUAUUAUUUUCAUAUUUUCAUAUGAGUUUUUUUGCAGGUUCCUCUUUUUCUUUUAAAUUUUAGUUUAAUAAUGAUGAUACAAAAUUAUUUCUAGCUGGCUUAUACUGAAAAGCUUGGGUUGAAAUUGCUUGUUUGUGCUGGCCUUCUAUGUAGUUCCUUUUUUAUGUCACUCUUCCCUAAAAUCAGAAAAUAUGAGUGGAUGCAGGAUUCUAAUGAGAAAAUACACACACACACACACCACAUUUGCAAAAAUCAAAACUUUAUUUAAAUAAAGCUUUAGUUUGAUCCUUUUCAUUUUCACUUGAUUUGACUCUUCUCCUGGAUUUUUAAAUUGACGAUCUUUGGAAUAUAGAUGAUGGUGAUGUUAAUGAUAAUAUCAGUAAUAAUGUGGGUAUUAGCAUUGUUCACUAGAUAAUGAAUGUGUUUUUUUUGUCUAUCAGGUAAAGUUUUUGACGGACAAUAUUCAGAUUGUAUUAGAUGCUGUUCAAACUUCAAAUGUUGUUGAAGUGCAGGUAUUUUCCUAGUUUUAAGAAUUUGAAAUCGCAGACAUUUUAUCUGGUACUUUGUUUGUGAGGUGUAUUUAUUAACCUUUUCAAUUUCUUUUGUUUUCAAUUUGUUCCUCUUUAUUUAUAGGGUGGCAAAAUAAGGAGGCGGAAUGAAUGGAUGAAUUGGAUCACACCUUCUACACAGAUCCCUAAUGUUACAGGUUCUCUAACUGUUGGACAACUAGCAGAAAACAUCCAAAGCAUUGCUCUGGAAACAAAUAAAAGCAACACAACUGGAGGACUAGAUGUUUCACAAAGUUCGAAUAGACAAUAUCUGAUUUCCACUUCUGAGGGUAGUACUGUUCAUGGUGGCAUUCAACGAAAUGAAAAUCAAGAUCACUCUGCAUCUGCAAAAAGUUAGACAUGCAGCGGAGAUGUUCCUUAAAACAAUUUUGGUGGAGAAUAUUCUUUGGAGAGAGGCUGGAAGCGGGAUCUAACAUGUUCUGAAUUUCUUCAUACAACAAAGUGGGGCAUGAAUUCUCAAGGUAUAUAGUAUAAUGUGAUUGAGAAAUGGAGAGAAAAUAUUUUGACUUAAAUGCAAUCUUGGUUUUCACUUUUACUGAUUCACAAUUUUACUCCCCCAUUUUUAAUUCGAUAAUAUAGUCACCCAGUUUUUAAAAUUUCAAAAAAAUUCACCAUCAUUGAAUUUGGGGCUUAUUUUUCUUGAUGUGUCAAGUUGAUAAAUGAGUUGGCAAGUUAUAGGGUGGUGUGACAAUGCAUAUGUGGUUAAUCAUCUUAUUUUCUUUUCCAUAUCAUUAAGAUUAUUUUUAAAAAUGAAAAAAAAAAAUGUAAAACCUUGUAAAAAUCAUCCCUUUUCCUUUUUAUUUUCCUUUUUCAUGAGGUAGGUCUAUGUCUUCCAGAUUUUUGCUUUUUCCUUUUUAUUUUUAAUCUACUUUUAGCUUAUAGAAAGAAGAAGAAAAAUUCUAAAAAAUAUGCAUUGUCACAUCAUUUAGUGACUUGUUAGCCUAUUAUUCAACAUGAAACAUCAAUAAAAAUAAGUUGAAAAUUCAAUGGUGAAAAAUUUUGAAAUUUUAAAAGUCAAGGGUCUACAUUUUAGAUUUUCCAAAAACAAAAACAUUAUCACAUCAUCUGGUGACUUGUCAGCUUAUUAUUCAAUGUGAUACAUCAAUAAAAAUAAGUCCAAAAUUAAAUGGUCGAAAUAUUUCAGAGAUGUUAAAAAUGGAGGGACUAUUUUCCGGAUUUAGAAAUUGGGGAACUAAAAUCUUGAAUCAGCAAAAAUAGAGGAUGAAAAGUGCAUUUUUGUCAUUUUAUACAUAACAGACAAAGACAAAUGAGUUAAAACAGGCUCACAGAAAAUGCACAUUUACAUUAUCUCUGUCAUGGAGCUAGUAGCAUAACUGGUUAUUACUUCUGCUUGUAAUGGAUACAAUGUUCCUUCCCUGAUUGUGGGAGGGUCGUUUGCUUUAAUCCCACCCUUUUCUUUGUUUUGCUUUCCCCUGAAUUCCCCUCGGCUGCUUUUUAUAAUCUUUGGGGUAUCUUCUCACCAACUUUGGAGCAUUAUGUGUGAGAUUAUUAUUAUGGGUCUGAUAUGAAUGAGUUUGAUAUAGCUACUGGUUCACUGAAUGAAGGAGAAAAAUGGAAUGGAAUUUCUGCUGACAGAGCUUGUCCUGCAACUGCUUUGUACAAUAUGAUCACAUCAUAUUUUGAAUAACUUAUAUUUAUACUUUUAUGUUCUUUAUUUUUUGCUUUUUUGUUUUGUUAUUUAUUUAUUUUCUCUAUUCUAACUUAGGCAUAAGUUUGCUCAUGUCUGAUGUGAGCCUAUUUAAACUUGCACUAUCCAGAUUACUGCUGUAUAAGGUUGUUAUUUUGCCAAUUUUAGACUUGUACUGCUCUAUUCUAACUGGUCUUUUAUUAUUUCAUAAUUCAUACUCCUACGCCUAUUUUAUUGUUGAUGUAAUUAGUUUAAUCCAUUCUUUU
rnacentral:lncRNA from 1 species